GACCGUUCUCAGGGCGGGGUGAGAUUCCCCACCGGCGGUAUGGAGACUUGUCUCCGAGCCCGCGAGCGCCUUCCACACAAUGGAAGGGUCAGCAGAUCCGGUGAGAGGCCGGAGCCGACGGUAUAGUCCGGAUGGAAGAGAGCAAGC
rnacentral:ncRNA from 2 species